GCGCUGGUGGCGGAAUGGCAGACGCGCUAGCUUGAGGUGCUAGUCCUCGAAAGGGGGUGGGGGUUCAAGUCCCCCUCUGCGCA
rnacentral:tRNA from 1 species